AUGGGUCCUCUUAACAUUCUCAAAUAUUUGAAGAAGCACUCCACAAUCUAUCCUAAUGCUAUUAUUACAUACAUAAUUUUGUUGACCAUUCCUGUGACUGUUGCAUCUGCAGAAAGGAGUUUUCUUAAAUUCAAGCUGUUGAAAUCCUACUUGUGUUCUACUAUGACACAACAAAGGCUCAAUGGAUUGGCGAUAAUAGCACUUGAAAAUGUUGUCUUAGAGAAGAUAAAUUACGAAGAUAUGAUUGAAGACUUUAUUUCAAGAAAUACUAGAUGGAUGCUACUUUUUGGUAGAACAUGA
rnacentral:rRNA from 1 species